rnacentral:lncRNA from 1 species
UAUCAGCAGCAGCAGCAGUCAGCGAGUGGAGCUGGCUUUGUUGAGAUGACAAAACAAUGUCAGUGUGCUAGCAGCGGGCAUUGUUGACAGAUGCAAAGGCCACACUCACAACUGUCAGGAUUUGGCUUCAAUGUUGAUGCUAGCAUCCAAGACAUUGUAAGAGACAGACAGUGCUGCCGCCGUAUCAUUUGAAUGGGUAAGCAGGAGACCUGUUCUUAAAUCGCCUAGUCCCGUCGUCAUCAUCAGUCAGUCAGUCGGUCAUUGUCACCAUCACCACUAGCACCACCGUCACCUCCACUACACCACCGCAACCGUCAACACCACCACCACCACCUCCACAUUAUUAUUGUUGUCGUCUUCGACGUCCUUUCUCUCGCCAUCACCGUUACAGUCACCCGUCAGCGUCAUCAUCCCCGUCAUCAUCCUCAUCAUCUUUAUUAUUUUACCAUGUGAUUUAAGGCUUUCAUUAUCUUUAAUGCAUGCACCCUUCGUGUUUCUCUCACAAUAACAAUUUUACUAUUCUCUUUUCUUGUACCAGCACCAUCAUCAUCACCACAACCAUCAUCACACACAUCAUCGUUGUCAUCAUUAACAUCACCACCAUCAUCAACUUCAUUCAUCACCACUGUUGCCAUCACCAAUAACUAUAUCAUAACAAUUAGUUUCAGUAGUUUAUACAAUUUAUUUUAAUUAAUAAUUUUGUGUAUGUGGAUUUUGUAUACAUUAUAUACAUGUGUAUAUAUAUAUAUAUAUAUAUAUACGCAUGUCUAUAUAUAAAUAUGUAUAUAUAUAUAUAGAUGUAUAUAUAUGUAUCUAUAUGUAUAUAUAUAUAUAUAUGUAUAUACGCGUAUAUAUAUAUAUAUAUAUAUGUAUAUACGCAUAUAUAUAUGUAUGUAUAUAUGCUUAUAUAUAUGUAUGUAUAUAUGCUUAUAUAUAUAUAUAUGUAUAUAUGCUUAUAUAUAUAUAUAUGUAUAUGUAUAUAUGCAUAUAUAUGUAUAUGUAUAUAUGCAUAUAUAUGUAUAUGUAUAUAUGCAUAUAUAUGUAUAUGUAUAUAUGCAUAUAUAUGUAUAUGUAUAUAUGCAUAUAUAUGUAUAUGUAUAUAUGCAUAUAUAUGUAUAUGUAUAUAUGCAUAUAUAUGUAUAUGUAUAUGUAUAUAUGCAUAUAAGUAUAUGUAUAUAUGCAUAUAUAUGUAGAUAUAUACAUAUAUAUAUGUAUAUAUAUAUUUAUAUAUAUAUAUAUAUACACACAUAUAUUUAAUGUAUAUAGUAACAUAUAUAGGUAUGUAUAUAUGUGUAUGUAAAUACGUAUUUGUAUGUGUGUAUAUCUAUACAUAUGUAACUAUGUAUCUUUAUAUAUAUAUGCAUGUAUAUGUAUAUAUAUAUAUAUUUAUAAAUGCAUGUGUAUGGUAUGUGUAUAUAAUACAUAUAUAUGUAAAUGCGAUAUAUAUAUGUAUAUAUACAUUAAUAUAUAGAUACACUAUAUAUAUGCACGCAUGCACACACAUGCUACAUACAUCGUUACAUACAAACACACACACAUAUAUAUAUAUAUAUACACACACACACCACACACACACACACAUAUGCAUAUAUAGUAAACUUAUUCAUGCAUAUACAGAGACAGAUGCAGACAGAUAGAUAAGCUCAAACACUGAGACAAAAUUUCACGCACAGACCUACAUGCAUACAGGUGUUUUCUGAUUUCAAAUAUCAUUAUCAUUAUGUUUAAUUCCAUAAUAUAAAAAGUAACAAAUUCAUAUUUCAUUUACAAAAAUUCUUUUACAUUUCUCUUGCUACCUCUUUCUACCCACCUCUCUCCUUCUGCCUGUUUCAUUGAGUGCAUAUGUAUAUGUGUGCAUCUGUUUGUGUGUGUGAAUGCAUGUACAUGUCUGGUUUGUUCUCAUUUAAUCUAUCCCUCUCACCCUCUAUCUCUCUUUCUAUCUUACUAAUCAUAUCCAUAUAUAUUUAUUUGUUUUACUCUUUCUCUCUAUUUUCCGCAUGUAUACACACACACACAUGCACACAUACACAUAUAGAAGAUGUGCACAUACACAUUCUGCCAAAUACAUAUACACACACACUUCCUCUCUCGUUCACUCUUUAACAGUUUCUAUUCCUUUUCUUUCUUAUUAUUUCUAAUCUGUUUGGCAAACUUUUACAAUUUGCUACCACAUAUUAUCUCUUCAUGCAUCAAACUUCAUUUUUUUCUUACAUCAAGCAUUAGAGCCUUUGCCUUCUUUUUUACUUUUCUACUUUCCGUUUACUAUAUGACCUUACUCCACAAUUUGUAAUUUGUUUAUAUUUAAAUUUCAUUUUCUUUACUUCAUAAAUAGGUGGCUAUUGUACUUUAUCUCACUUCCCAAAAUAAGCUUCAAUUAUGUCAUUCCUGCCAUGACUGUUCCAUGUACUAUAUGUAAAAUAUAUAUUUUAUAUAAUAUAUACAAUAUAUAUAUAUAUAUAUAUAUAUAUAUAUUUAUUUACAAUAUGUGUGUGUGUUUGUG